rnacentral:misc_RNA from 1 species
AAAGUCGUAACAAGGUUUCCGUAGGUGAACCUGCGGAAGGAUCAUUAACGAACAAAAGAUUUACUUAUUAAAUCUUUUGAGAUCAACCAAAAACCUGUCAAAAGUAUUCACUUUGUGAAUACACACUAUAAUAAAUAUUACAAAACUUUCAACAACGGAUCUCUUGGCUCUU